AAAAAAUAAAUAAAUUAAAAAAUAUGAGUUGUUGUACAGGAUGCUGUGGAUGUGCCAAAGUUCCUGCUCCGCCACAAUUUUAUAUUAGCUCUGCAUCAUAUCGAUAUAUUAUGCGGGAAAAGACGCGCAUCAGGUUGAGUAAAUUGCAUAAUGGCUUGCAAAUACCUUGAAUCUAGAAAGAAAAUCAAAACAUUACCUACUCCGAGGAUGCCGACAAAGGGCAGAGGAAGAAGCAUCAGCUUUUGAUUUCAUUCAAAAUAACUUAUAUAUGCAAAUCUUUUCCAGAUUUAUCUAUCUAAUAUUUUGUGUACCUCAAAAAUGUAUAAUAAAAAACUGAUGUAUGCGCUGCUUUUUA
rnacentral:sRNA from 1 species